UACGAGGGGGGGCAAGCGUUGUUUCGGAUUCACUGGGCGUAAAGGGUGCGUAGGCGGUCGGGUAAGUCUGAUGUGAAAUCUCACAGCUUAACUGUGAAACUGCAUUGGAUACUAUCCGGCUAGAGGAAUGGAGGGGAGACUGGAAUACUUGGUGUAGCAGUGAAAUGCGUAGAUAUCAAGUGGAACACCAGUGGCGAAGGCGAGUCUCUGGACAUUUCCUGACGCUGAGGCACGAAAGCCAGGGGAGCAAACGGG
rnacentral:rRNA from 1 species